GCCCCGUGUGGCUCAGUUGGUAGAGCAUAGCACUUGCAAUGCCAGGGUUGUGGGUUCAAUGCCCACAGGGGACA